AAAUUCAUAAGUCUUAGUUAAGAAGAUGGUCAGGGUGUGAAGAAACCUCUUCAGUUUCCUCUUUAUGUUGACACGUGCAUCCAUCUUUAAAUAAGUUACUGAAAACUAUGUAGCGUAUUGAUCGGUACCCAGAAAGAAAGCAAGAUGGCUGUGGUUCCUGAGUUCCAAGAGCCCUAUCACAGCUGACAUAGACUGUACGAAACUUCCUAGUUUUCUUGUGUGUACUUCAACCUCAAAUGGCUUUCCAAAUCUUAGCAUUGUUUCUUGCUCUCCUCAGGCCUGAAGAUGGUAGGGCAAGUCUGUUUAACAGUAUUAACAUGCUUGGUGUAGUGGAAGGGAGCAAUAUAACCCCAACAAAUUUAGCAAGGGAAGAAUUAUCAUACUGGUUUAAUCUGCUAGUAAUACAAAAGAUACAGGAACCAGAGUUUGGAGAAACUCUAGGAUCCAGGUGCCUCUGAUUCCCCUCUCUUCCCUUCCCCUCCCUUCCCUUCUUUUUCUUCAGGCUGAAGUUGUUAUUGAACUACUAAUCAAGGCCAUGCUUAAACACUGACCACGAUCUCUUUGUUUUUGUUUUUGUAUUGGUUAAGUUGAAUGGCUUUGAUAAUUGGUAAGGUUUUAUGUGAUCUCCUGAAUGCAGUGGAUGUGCUGGUAGUGUUUCGAGAGAUUCUGAAACAAACAAAUCAUUUGAAAAAAACCUUCACACUUUUUUUUUUUUGUUUUGUUAUUUCAGGUGGCCUGGGUGUGUUGCUCAUAGAAUUGUUAGGGUUCUUCUAAGACUGCUUCAGAGGUAUAAGGUUUCAGGAUUGAACCGUUUACAUGGGAGUAAGGUCACUCACCUGAAUAUACAGGGAAGAAAGAAACAGAAAUCACUGAUACUCAUGUGUUGAAAUGCAGCUUUCACUCACGGGAAGGAGGUCAAAAUCUGAAGGAAAUACUUCAAAAGUGUGGAAAGCAAAACUGUUCUCUCAAGCCCAUCUGCUGGAUAUGAUUAGUCUGUGGACAUUUUUCCCUCCAAAUUUUCAGCUCCUUAUGUGUUCUCCCACUAUAGUUUUUGUUGUGGGUGGAGUUAAGCCAGCGGUGGAAGUGAAGAGAACAUUCCUUACUAUAGCCUAAGGGGUCUGUUUUAAUAUGCCUGCUUUUCCAGCUUCAGUUAACGAGUAUGUGCAACCUGCUCUGUACAGGCUCAACAUCAGCCUGAAGACAUGAGCUCUGACAGUGCUACAUCUGCAAACCUUCCGCCAAAGGAAUGCAAUUGUCAUGGCAUUCUGGGAAGAAGAAACACGUUCUGAUUAGUCGGGUCCUAAGCCCUUAUUUAGGGAUCUGUCACAAAAACAGAGAUAGCAGCAGCAAGCAAUGAACCAGCAGAGAUGCUGAACAAUAUGCUAAGAUGUGACAGGAUGUGUCCAUCCUGGCCUGCGUCUCUGGUGGAGGGUGCACAACAUCAGCCACAUGCAGGGAGUGGUCUGCGAGGCUCGGGCUAGGAAUGGGAUCGUCUCCCUGUGAUAUUGCUGCUUUGAGCUUCAGUUGAACAUGUGUGUCCCAUGAGCAAACUAAAUAAAUGGAAGGCUUCUGCUAAGCUUGGACUCUCACAAAACUCAGCUCCUCGCCUCCGACGAAUCAACUGCCACAAACCCCACGCAGGCUGGUAUGUCACGGUGGGACAAUCCAUAAAAUUUCCGUGCAUGAAGAAGUGCUCAGGGAAGUCUAACACACUCCAUUGGAUCACUACAUCAGUGUGCUAAGGAACGAGUAAGGAGCAUUUGCAUUUAAGAGCACUGGUCUCAUGGGGAAGCCAGGACGUGACCCUGGAGGCUGCAGCAUGUGGUAUGUGACACCCUGAGAUCUUGGCUCUCCUGCUGGUGCCCCUUUUUUAGGGAGCAUGGGCACAGCAGCUCUGCCAGGGAGAAUAAGCAUUGGAAAAACCUUGGCUGAACUUCUCUGGUGUUGCAGUUUGAGAGGACGUGGACCAGUUGGAAAAAUUCAACGGAGAAGUGUUGAGUAUAAUUAUGGAGGUCUCAAAUAUGACCAAGGAGGGGUAAAGACAUGGACCAUAAACAGCUGUUGUGAGUCUGUUGUUCAGUUUGAAACCUCAAUAGAAUUUCUGCUACUGUGAGAACUAUGUAAGAGUACCGAGACCAGGUGCUACAGGGUGCUGGUGUUUGGACUGCUGUCUGGCGUAUAGCCAUACAUUGCAGCCCAGAUGACAAGGACACUGCUCUGAGGCAACCCCACAUGGAACCAAUAUGCCAGGUACAAUUGCACAGAGCACCUUGAGAUGCCCCUCGGAAGCACUGCAUGGAUACAUAUUAAUGAAAGGAUUACGUUCCCAGUGCAGGACAGCAGAAGACAGACAGCAGUGUUAUGCCUUAGAAGCUGAGUAACUACAUCAGUUGCGAAUUUGUAUGGCUCCCAGCCCACAGCCAGAGAACACACCUGUGCUCACCCAGAGGAUGAUAAGAGCUCCUACGAGAACAGCCCUUCUGCAGAAGCUCCCCUGCCAGCUCUCUGCUCCUGGUGACCCUUAACAGGAGAUGGCCUCUGCCAGGGAAUGCCUCUGGAAUCACUCACACGGGAGGAUGGGUCUGAAGUAAAGCUUGGAAGCCUUUCCAAGAUGAUGGUGAUAAUUAUUAUUAGUAUCUACUUUCUCCCUUACAUAAAAGCAGAGUCCCUCAGGAGGACCCCAGCAUGGGUGCACACUGCUGUGGGGGAUGGAGCCAUGCCCUGCUGCACCUAAGAGGUGGAGGUAAAUUCAACAAGUGUAAGCAGCAAAAGUGGAUAUGCAAGUUGAAGGCCUAUAACAAGCCCAUCAGCAAAAGGCACUCAAUAAAAUAACAAAGUACCACUGGGCAGAGGAUAGGUAGGCGCAAAGGAACAGCUGGCUACAUGUGUGACAUAUGGGAAGCAAGUACAAGAAGUCAACUCUGUCAGGAGCAGGGGAGGUGCCCCCAUGCCUUUCAGAAGGAGAAAGGAAGAAAACACCAAUAAGGAAGGAUGACAAUGAAGUGGAAAAGAAGGUGCCCAAUAGCAUCGCUGGCUGCCUGCAUCAAAUAGCCCACAAAGUCACUUACCUUGGAAGUGGAUCAAACCCCAGCAAAGCUCCUCUCUGCCAUUUUAUAUUCACAGCUAAUUUGGGAUGUGCUUGUUAAGGACUAAUUGUUUGCCUGUGUGGGGAGGGUGGUUAAGAAGUGAGCUGUGGUGAUGAUUUUUGUUAACGAAUGCCAGCUCUGUAAAGUAAUGUCUUGCUUUGAAGCUUAAA